rnacentral:lncRNA from 1 species
GUGAUUAGUCCCCUUACAGAAAAAGCAACCUGAUUCUGUAGUUUCAACCUUAGGUUUCUUAUGUUGCUUCUUCUGGGGCCUUGCAACCGCAACUUCCUUAUUUUUCCUCUUCUUAUUAUCUUUAGAAGAGAAUGCCAAAUGAGCACUUUCUGUCUUAUCUUGCUUUAUUCUCUCUUCCUCUUGCACACAAUGUGAAAUGAGCUCAUUAAGAGUCCAUUU